rnacentral:rRNA from 1 species
AGUUUGAUCCUGGCUCAGGACGAACGCUGGCGGCGUGCCUAAUACAUGCAAGUCGAACGCUUUUUCUUUCACCGGAGCUUGCUCCACCGAAAGAAAAAGAGUGGCGAACGGGUGAGUAACACGUGGGUAACCUGCCCAUCAGAAGGGGAUAACACUUGGAAACAGGUGCUAAUACCGUAUAACACUAUUUUCCGCAUGGAAGAAAGUUGAAAGGCGCUUUUGCGUCACUGAUGGAUGGACCCGCGGUGCAUUAGCUAGUUGGUGAGGUAACGGCUCACCAAGGCCACGAUGCAUAGCCGACCUGAGAGGGUGAUCGGCCACACUGGGACUGAGACACGGCCCAGACUCCUACGGGAGGCAGCAGUAGGGAAUCUUCGGCAAUGGACGAAAGUCUGACCGAGCAACGCCGCGUGAGUGAAGAAGGUUUUCGGAUCGUAAAACUCUGUUGUUAGAGAAGAACAAGGAUGAGAGUAAAACGUUCAUCCCUUGACGGUAUCUAACCAGAAAGCCACGGCUAACUACGUGCCAGCAGCCGCGGUAAUACGUAGGUGGCAAGCGUUGUCCGGAUUUAUUGGGCGUAAAGCGAGCGCAGGCGGUUUCUUAAGUCUGAUGUGAAAGCCCCCGGCUCAACCGGGGAGGGUCAUUGGAAACUGGGAGACUUGAGUGCAGAAGAGGAGAGUGGAAUUCCAUGUGUAGCGGUGAAAUGCGUAGAUAUAUGGAGGAACACCAGUGGCGAAAGCGGCUCUCUGGUCUGUAACUGACGCUGAGGCUCGAAAGCGUGGGGAGCGAACAGGAUUAGAUACCCUGGUAGUCC